rnacentral:rRNA from 1 species
GAGUUUGAUCCUGGCUCAGGACGAACGCUGGCGGCGUGCUUAACACAUGCAAGUCGAGCGAUGAAGCUUCCUUCGGGAAGUGGAUUAGCGGCGGACGGGUGAGUAACACGUGGGUAACCUGCCUCAAAGUGGGGGAUAGCCUUCCGAAAGGAAGAUUAAUACCGCAUAAUAUGAGAGAAUCGCAUGAUUUUCUUAUCAAAGAUUUAUCGCUUUGAGAUGGACCCGCGGCGCAUUAGCUAGUUGGUAAGGUAACGGCUUACCAAGGCAACGAUGCGUAGCCGACCUGAGAGGGUGAUCGGCCACAUUGGAACUGAGACACGGUCCAGACUCCUACGGGAGGCAGCAGUGGGGAAUAUUGCGCAAUGGGGGAAACCCUGACGCAGCAACGCCGCGUGGGUGAUGAAGGUCUUCGGAUUGUAAAGCCCUGUUUUCUAGGACGAUAAUGACGGUACUAGAGGAGGAAGCCACGGCUAACUACGUGCCAGCAGCCGCGGUAAUACGUAGGUGGCGAGCGUUGUCCGGAUUUACUGGGCGUAAAGGGUGCGUAGGCGGAUGUUUAAGUGGGAUGUGAAAUCCCGGCUUAACCUGGGGGCUGCAUUCCAAACUGGAUAUCUAGAGUGCAGGAGAGGAAAGCGGAAUUCCUAGUGUAGCGGUGAAAUGCGUAGAGAUUAGGAAGAACACCAGUGGCGAAGGCGGCUUUCUGGACUGUAACUGACGCUGAGGCACGAAAGCGUGGGUAGCAAACAGGAUUAGAUACCCUGGUAGUCCACGCCGUAAACGAUGGAUACUAGGUGUAGGGGGUAUCAACUCCCCCUGUGCCGCAGUUAACACAAUAAGUAUCCCGCCUGGGGAGUACGGUCGCAAGAUUAAAACUCAAAGGAAUUGACGGGGGCCCGCACAAGCAGCGGAGCAUGUGGUUUAAUUCGAAGCAACGCGAAGAACCUUACCUGGACUUGACAUCCCUUGCAUAGCCUAGAGAUAGGUGAAGCCCUUCGGGGCAAGGAGACAGGUGGUGCAUGGUUGUCGUCAGCUCGUGUCGUGAGAUGUUAGGUUAAGUCCUGCAACGAGCGCAACCCUUGUUAUUAGUUGCUACCAUUAAGUUGAGCACUCUAAUGAGACUGCCUGGGUAACCAGGAGGAAGGUGGGGAUGACGUCAAAUCAUCAUGCCCCUUAUGUCCAGGGCUACACACGUGCUACAAUGGUAGGUACAAUAAGACGCAAGACCGUGAGGUGGAGCAAAACUUAUAAAACCUAUCUCAGUUCGGAUUGUAGGCUGCAACUCGCCUACAUGAAGCUGGAGUUGCUAGUAAUCGCGAAUCAGAAUGUCGCGGUGAAUACGUUCCCGGCCUUGUACACACCGCCCGUCACACCAUGAGAGCUGGUAACACCCGAAGUCCGUGAGGUAACCGUAAGGAGCCAGCGGCCGAAGGUGGGAUUAGUGAUUGGGGUGAAGUCGUAACAAGGUAGCCGUAGGAGAACCUGCGGCUGGAUCACC